rnacentral:misc_RNA from 1 species
CACAAAGUUCACCUCAUAAGUAAACGAAACAGGCUCAUUUUCUUUAAUAGCCAUGGCAACAGUUGUUGGGUCGCACUUAAUUGGAUUCGGGUACUUAUUGUACAUUUUCAAGUUCUUUGCCGAAUCAGGAGCAUGUUGAACACUACAAGGAACAACCUCAAACCCAACAACCAUAUAACCAGGUUCCUCAGAUCCAUCCUUUCCAACUGUAGAGAUCACCUCAGCUCCAUCCCCAGUACCCAUAACCCGAGCCACAUUGGUCUCUUCAUACUUAUGAACAAGAACCGUAAACUUCAAGAUGCGUAUUACGUGUUUAAUCACUUGAAGUUUACGGUUCUU